AACGAACGCUGGCGGCAUGCCUAACACAUGCAAGUCGAACGAGACCUUCGGGUCUAGUGGCGCACGGGUGCGUAACGCGUGGGAACCUGCCCUUAGGUUCGGAAUAACUCCCCGAAAGGGGUGCUAAUACCGGAUAAUGUCUUCGGACCAAAGAUUUAUAGCCUUUGGAUGGGCCUGCGUUGGAUUAGCUAGUUGGUAGGGUAAAAGCCUACCAAGGCGACGAUCCAUAGCUGGUCUGAGAGGAUGAUCAGCCACACUGGGACUGAGACACGGCCCAGACUCCUACGGGAGGCAGCAGUGGGGAAUAUUGGACAAUGGGCGAAAGCCUGAUCCAGCAAUGCCGCGUGAGUGAUGAAGGCCUUAGGGUUGUAAAGCUCUUUUACCCGGGAUGAUAAUGACAGUACCGGGAGAAUAAGCUCCGGCUAACUCCGUG
rnacentral:rRNA from 1 species